GACGAAGGUGGCGAGCGUUGUUCGGAAUCACUGGGCAUAAAGCGCACGUAGGCGGUGUCGUAAGUCGGGUGUGAAAUCCCUCGGCCUAACCGAGGAACUGCGCCCGAUACUGCGAUGCUUGAGGACCAGAGGGGUGCAUGGAAUUUCCGGUGGAGCGGUGAAAUGCGUUGAUAUCGGAAGGAACUCCGGCGGCGAAAGCGAUGCACUGGCUGGUUUCUGACGCUGAGGUGCGAAAGCCAGGGGAGCAAACGGG
rnacentral:rRNA from 2 species